rnacentral:rRNA from 2 species
CGUGCGUGGGGGGUUCUAUAAUGCAGUCGAACGAGUUCUCGUUGAUGAUCGGUGCUUGCACCGAGAUUCAACAUGGAACGAGUGGCGGACGGGUGAGUAACACGUGGGUAACCUGCCCUUAAGUGGGGGAUAACAUUUGGAAACAGAUGCUAAUACCGCAUAGAUCCAAGAACCGCAUGGUUCUUGGCUGAAAGAUGGCGUAAGCUAUCGCUUUUGGAUGGACCCGCGGCGUAUUAGCUAGUUGGUGAGGUAAUGGCUCACCAAGGCGAUGAUACGUAGCCGAACUGAGAGGUUGAUCGGCCACAUUGGGACUGAGACACGGCCCAAACUCCUACGGGAGGCAGCAGUAGGGAAUCUUCCACAAUGGACGCAAGUCUGAUGGAGCAACGCCGCGUGAGUGAAGAAGGCUUUCGGGUCGUAAAACUCUGUUGUUGGAGAAGAAUGGUCGGCAGAGUAACUGUUGUCGGCGUGACGGUAUCCAACCAGAAAGCCACGGCUAACUACGUGCCAGCAGCCGCGGUAAUACGUAGGUGGCAAGCGUUAUCCGGAUUUAUUGGGCGUAAAGCGAGCGCAGGCGGUUUUUUAAGUCUGAUGUGAAAGCCCUCGGCUUAACCGAGGAAGCGCAUCGGAAACUGGGAAACUUGAGUGCAGAAGAGGACAGUGGAACUCCAUGUGUAGCGGUGAAAUGCGUAGAUAUAUGGAAGAACACCAGUGGCGAAAGCGGCUGUCUGGUCUGUAACUGACGCUGAGGCUCGAAAGCAUGGGUAGCGAACAGGAUUAGAUCCCUUAGUAGUCCAAUGUA